UAACAACUAAUGUAGUGCUGGAUUCGCGCGCAUGCGCGCUGUUGUCAAGGAAACACUUGAUGAAUGCGUUUUCCCAUCAAAAGGACACAUGGAUGCUUAUUUCUAUUUGAAAUGAACACUCCAGGAGGAGAACCAGCCCGUAUACUGCUCUUGAUUGGAGGAGCUGAUUUGAUCUGAUGUCACAGACCCUUCCUCAAACCCAAGGGGCUUAUGCACCUUUAUUUUGAAACAAUGCAUCAGAUCUUUGAAGUUUUUCUUGGGGCAAGAGGUCAGUGGAAGAAGUGCAGUGGAGGAAGGCAAAAUUUUCAUUUGAUUGUACCACAUUUGUCUCAGAGGACUCUCAGCACAAGCGGUUUUUGUGUUAAUGGAGCGUGUCUGCCCUGUGGUGGUGAGCCAUUGGGACGCAGCGAUGGCACACAUGGCCCAGGUGAAACUGCAACCAAAUGAUUAAUGACUUUGUGCUCAGGUGCAGGCACGGGCUUGUCCGGGUGCCAGCUCAUUCGCACAUGCCCUGCCAUCUUGUUUCCAAAGGGCACCAGCUAGUGCUAACUAAUCCAUCUCUUUUCAAAAAGAGGAGCAAAGUCUCAUUCUGAUGUUGUGUAACUGAUGUUUGUGUUUUAUACUAUGGGGUGCAAAACAAACCAGGAUCUCAUUUACAUAAUUACUCUCAUUAUUCACACGAAAUCGGUGAUGUGCUUCUAAGUCUGAUUUAGAAAAAUCUAUAUACAGUAUUAUGUUAUCUUUCUCACCUGGCAUGCAGACCAUACCCUGUGCCCAGGUGGAUCUAAAACCUUUAGAAAGCAGCUUGGAAUCUUCAUCACAAUCACAUUUGCAAGUUUUUUCAGCCCAUGUCUCAUUGCCAUCCUGAACGCAGAGUAAACAAGAGUAAAUUAUGGUAAAA